rnacentral:rRNA from 1 species
AGUGAACGCUGGCGGUAGGCCUAACACAUGCAAGUCGAACGGCAGCACAGUAAGAGCUUGCUCUUACGGGUGGCGAGUGGCGGACGGGUGAGGAAUACAUCGGAAUCUACUUUUUCGUGGGGGAUAACGUAGGGAAACUUACGCUAAUACCGCAUACGACCUACGGGUGAAAGCAGGGGAUCUUCGGACCUUGCGCGAUUGAAUGAGCCGAUGUCGGAUUAGCUAGUUGGCGGGGUAAAGGCCCACCAAGGCGACGAUCCGUAGCUGGUCUGAGAGGAUGAUCAGCCACAUUGGAACUGAGACACGGUCCAGACUCCUACGGUAGGCAGCAGUGGGGAAUAUUGGACAAUGGGCGCAAGCCUGAUCCAGCCAUACCGCGUGGGUGAAGAAGGCCUUCGGGUUGUAAAGCCCUUUUGUUGGGAAAGAAAAGCAGCAGGUUAAUACCCCGCUGUUCUGACGGUACCCAAAGAAUAAGCACCGGCUAACUUCGUG